rfam:Peptococcaceae bacterium BRH_c8a BRHa_1005655, whole genome shotgun sequence.
UACACCCUGCGGUGCGCGUGAAUUGCUUGCAGUUUUGGGGCCAACACCUAUUAAAAGGAGCCUGGGCUCUGGAUGUGAAAUGUACACCUGUUUAAGGAACGGGGACACACCUCCUGCGAAGGAAUGUCCCCAAUUGUUGAGGAAUGUCCUCAAUAUAAUACUUUUAUCAGGGAACAAGAAGCAUUCAGGAGGGCACCUGCCUGUAUGAGAGCAGGUUCAGGAAACUUUGAGUGUUCACGAUACCUUGGGGGUUAA